UNANUUCAGNGNGGNAGNGNCNAGAAAUAACNNCUCNGNNNNCNUUGNNUUNUGAGAUUGCAAUGAAUACAACUUAAANCCCUUAAUGAGGAUCAAUUGGAGGGCAAGUCUGGUGCCAGCAGNNNNGGUAAUUCCAGCUCCAAUAGCGUAUAUUUAAGUUGUUGCAGUUAAAAAGCUCGUAGUUGGAUUUCUGGCAGGACUCUAAUGUCCGCUCGUUGCGUGUGCAUAUGAGUCCUGCCAUCCUUCUGUUAACUGUUCUGGUAUUCGUUUACUGGUUCAGAGCCCAGAUAUUUUACCUUGAGAAAAUUAGAGUGUUUCAGGCAGGCUUGCGCUUGAAUACAUUAGCAUGGAAUAAUAGAAUAGGACUUUGGUCUCUUUUGUUGGUUUGAGGGACUAGAGUAAUGAUUAAUAGGGACAGUUGGGGGCAUUAGUAUUUAAUUGUCAGAGGUGAAAUUCUCGGAUUUGUUAAAGACUAACUUAUGCGAAAGCAUUUGCCAAGGAUGUUUUCAUUAAUCAAGAACGAAAGUUAGGGGAUCAAAGACGAUCAGAUACCGUC
rnacentral:rRNA from 1 species